AACGCAUAUUGCACCUUUUGGUAUUCCGAAAGGUACACUUGUUCGAGCGUCAUAUAAUACUUCAAGUUUAACUUGGUGUUGAAAGUUUUACUUUCGAAAUCUCUCUACGCUUUCUAUCUAGAGUGCAUCGAUUUGUUCCUCUCGUAUGAAAGUCGACAGAAUCUUGACCUCGAAUCAAGUGGGAUUACCCGCUGAACUUAA
rnacentral:misc_RNA from 1 species